UGUCGCUGGCCUUCAACCGAGGCAUGUGCACGNNNNCNUCUGGACUUUCGCCGUAUGGGCGCGGGGCGACCCGCGUCUUCAUAUACCUCUUCGUGUAGAAAGUCUUCGAAUGUUUUUACCAUCAUCGAGUCGCGACUUCUAGGAGACGCGAUUCUUUGAGACAAAAGUUAUCACAACUUUCAGCAAUGGAUCUCUUGGCUCUCGCAUCGAUGAAGAACGCAGCGAAUCGCGAUAUGUAAUGUGAAUUGCAGAUCUACAGUGAAUCAUCGAAUCUUUGAACGCACCUUGCGCUCCUCGGUGUUCCGAGGAGCAUGCCUGUUUGAGCGUCAGUAAAUUCUCAACCCCUCUCGAUUUGCUUCGAGUGGGGCUUGGAUAGUGGGGGCUGCCGGAGACCUGAAAUUCAUUUCGGGACUCGGGCUCCUCUGAAAUGCAUCGGCUUGCGGUCGACUUUCGACUUUGCGCGACAAAGCUUUCGGCGUGAUAAUGAUCGCCGUUCGCUGAAGCGCAUCAAUGAANGGUCCCGUGCCUCUAAUCAGUCGACGCCUUCCGGGCGUCUUCCUUAUAGACGUUUGACCUCAAAUCAGGUAGGACUACCCGCUGAACUUAAGCAUAUCAAUAAGCGGAGGAAAAGAAACUAACAAGGAUUCCCCUAGUAACUGCGAGUGAACCGGGAAAAGCUCAAAUUUUGAAUCUGGCGGUCUUUACGGUCGUCCGAGUUGUAAUCUAGAGAAGCGUCUU
rnacentral:rRNA from 1 species